UACGGGGGGGGCAAGCGUUGUUCGGAAUUACUGGGCGUAAAGGGCUCGUAGGCGGCCAACUAAGUCAGACGUGAAAUCCCUCGGCUUAACCGGGGAACUGCGUCUGAUACUGGAUGGCCGGAGUGUGGGAGAGGGAUGCGGAAUUCCAGGUGUAGCGGUGAAAUGCGUAGAUAUCUGGAGGAACACCGGUGGCGAAGGCGGCAUCCUGGACCAUUACUGACACUGAAAAGCGAAAGCCAGGGGAGCAAACGGG
rnacentral:rRNA from 1 species